rnacentral:rRNA from 1 species
UACAGGGGGGGCAGGCGUUGUUCGGAUUUACUGGGCGUAAAGGGCGCGUAGGCGGCCACCGCAAGUCGACUGUGAAAUCUCCGGGCUUAACCCGGAAAGGUCAGCCGAUACUGCGGGGCUAGAGUGCAGAAGGGGCAACUGGAAUUCUCGGUGUAGCGGUGAAAUGCGUAGAUAUCGAGAGGAACACCUGCGGCGAAGGCGAGUCCCUGGACAACACCUGACACUGAGGCACGAAAGCCGGGGGAGCAAACAGG